UCUUUUCUUUUUUAUUAUUAUUUACAACAACAAACAAACAAAUCUACAAAACGCAUAAAAACUUCAUUUCUUCCCUUGCUUACAUUCUCUCUUUCGUUUCUUUAUUUGCUCUCUUUGCGUUCUUUUGUUUUUCUGAAGAAGAAAGGCUUCGUCCUUUGUUCCUUCCUCUUUGUUUUUCUGUUUUGGGUGUUCUUUUGUUCUCGGUGGCGAAGAAAGGCAGAAGCAGUUAUGUCGAUCGCAUUGGAGAGGAUAGAAACAUCAGGGUUUGGGCGCGUGAUGAAGUGCGCAUGUGAUACUUCCAGAUUGGAACCUACGCCGGUGAAGGAAAGGAAAGAGGUGGAGGAAGACGAUUGGAGGAGUGCAUCGUCUAGUACGACGUCGUCUUCGAUCGGCAGGAACAGUGACGACGCAUCUGGUAGAUCGUCCGACGGUGGAGCUUGCGAGGAAAAUGAGGUUCAAAGCUCUUAUAAAGGUGGCUUAGACAUGAUGGAUUCGCUCGAACAGGUUUUGCCGAUGAGGAGAGGCAUCUCAAAUUUCUACAAUGGCAAAUCAAAGUCCUUCACAAGUUUAGCCGAUGCUUCCUCAACUUCAUCGAUUAAAGACAUAGCAAAACCUGAAAAUGCAUACACCAGGAGGAGGAGAAAUCUAUUGGCAAUUAACCAUGCGUGGGACAAGAACAGGAACAAAAGACUCAUUAGACCAAUCAGCUCAAGCAAAAGCACAUUGGCUCUUGCUGUUGCAAUGAGUAGCUCUGAGAGUAUCUCUAGCACGAGUGAGGACUCGACUUCAACCUCAAGCCCACGACUUCCUCCAUUGCACCCACAAACCAGAACAUCUUUCAACAACACCCCUUCGUCGCCGCCGAAAAGUAGCCGGAAUUUCUCUAAUUGGCGGUCCUUCUCGUUGGCUGAUGUUCGGGAAUAUGCCACAAACCCAGAUUGCUCGUCAAUUCAUGAUAGAACUAACUCUUAAUAGAAAGAGACGUGAUAAUAAUUUGUUAUAGUUUUACACUUUUUUACGCUGAGUUUGAUAUAUACGCAAGGGGUGUUAGGCUUUAGCAUCUGCAUGGUUUUCAUGCCUCCUUGUUGCCCUUGUGAAAGGAAAAAUGUUGCCCCAAGUUUUAGCCAGUUGUUUUUCUUACCAGAUGCAGCAAAGGGAAUGGAUACAGCGUGGGGAAAUGUCUCGAAUUGAUUUCCAGCGUUUAAUCACGUUUGUUCCAAGGCUGAAGGCGACUGAAUUUUGACGGCCAGCAAAUAGCGGAAAACGAUGGGUUUGCUUUAUUUA